rnacentral:rRNA from 1 species
CGUAGGGUGCGAGCGUUAAUCGGAAUUACUGGGCGUAAAGCGUGCGCAGGCGGUUUUGUAAGACAGAUGUGAAAUCCCCGGGCUCAACCUGGGACCUGCAUUUGUGACUGCAAGGCUAGAGUACGGUAGGGGGGGAUGGAAUUCCGCGUGUAGCAGUGAAAUGCGUAGAUAUGCGGAGGAACACCGAUGGCGAAGGCAAUCCCCUGGACCUGUACUGACGCUCAUGCACGAAAGCGUGGGGAGCAAACAGGAUUAGAUACCCUGGUAGUCCACGCCCUAAACGAUGUCAACUGGUUGUUGGGUCUUUACUGACUCAGUAACGAAGCUAACGCGUGAAGUUGACCGCCUGGGGAGUACGGCCGCAAGGUUG